AUGUUCUCAAUGGUGUCAGCAGCAUUGGUGGAGGGUAACCGGCUAGAGAUUACACAGGCCGAAGGUUUGGUGCACCGCAAUGUGGCUGUUCCGAUGAGCAUCCUGUGGCAAGGACCCCAGUACUUCCUUCUAGGCGCCGCCGAGGUGUUCUCCAACAUUGGGCUAACUGAGUUUUUCUAUGAUGAAUCUCCAGAUGGCAUGCGAAGCUUAUGUAUGGCCUUUUCGCUUGUGAACAUCUCGGCUGGAAAUUACCUUAGUUCAUUUAUCCUUUCCCUUGUGCAAGAAUUCACAGCCAGAGGAGGCAGCCUAGGGUGGAUACCUGAUAACUUGAAUGAAGGGCAUUUGGAUAGAUUCUACUUGAUGAUGGCUGGGUUGAGUUUGCUGAAUAUAUUAGUCUUUGUAUUCUGUGCUAUGAGGCACAAAUGUAAGGAAGCUUCUUGA
rnacentral:rRNA from 1 species